UGGGGAAUAUUGGACAAUGGGGGGAACCCUGAUCCAGCCAUGCCGCGUGUGUGAAGAAGGCCUUAUGGUUGUAAAGCACUUUAAGCGAGGAGGAGGGUACUGGUAUUAAUACUACCAGGUACUGGACGUUACUCGCAGAAUAAGCACCGGCUAACUCUGUGCCAGCAGCCGCGGUAAUACAGAGGGUGCGAGCGUUAAUCGGAUUUACUGGGCGUAAAGCGUGCGUAGGCGGCUAAUUGAGUCGGAUGUGAAAUCCCCGAGCUUAACUUGGGAAUUGCAUUCGAUACUGGUUAGCUAGAGUGUGGGAGAGGAUGGUAGAAGUCCAGGUGUAGCGGUGAAAUGCGUAGAGAUCUGGAGGAAUACCGAUGGCGAAGGCAGCCAUCUGGCCUAACACUGACGCUGAGGUACGAAAGCAUGGGGAGCAAACAGG
rnacentral:rRNA from 1 species